CCAUCAGGCACGGCUGCUCAUACUGCUGGUGGCACAAGUGGCACACAAGGGGGUGGCAGUUGGCGCUGUCCGGAUCGUACAGGUUAUCCAAGGGGGAGAAGAUCCCGCCGGACAUCUGAAAUCAUACGGCGAUUCCCGAUUCCUCCACUGAUCUUCCCGGGACACGUGAAGGUGACGUCGGGCUGGGUGACACCUCCCAUCUCUGCACUAGACGGGCAGCUGCAGGCCUGUGGGUGAGUGUGUGAGGUUUGCAUGAAAACCCCUCAGCCAUCUUGAAGGGCACUACUUUGAAAUCAACUCAAUAAGUCCAAAUGGAAAGAGUCAUAUGGUCACUCUAACAUGCUUAAAAUUGCAAAAGACAUACGACAACAGCAAGGUAGGCAAUCGGCAAAAAGUGCAUUGAACAUAUUCUGUAAAAUGG